UGCUCAAGUGAUCCUCACACCUCAGCCUCCCGAGUAGCCAGGAUCACAGAAUGUCCAGUGCUAGGAGACUCAUAAGGUGGAGAGAAAUGGCCUGACUUAUAGAAACUGAGUGAGACUCCGGAACCACUUGAUGCAGAGACACCUGUGACCUGAAAAAGUCUAUUUGUGUUUCCUCUGGAAAUCCGGGCCAAGAAGACAGGGACAAGCUCCCAACUCUGACUACCCCUUUUAUAGGGAAAAAAAUCCCAUACCCUCUUUGCAGCAAGUGACAAAUCCUUGUCAUAUAGAGAUGGCUUUUCCUCCUCCUCUUCAAACAUCUUUUAGCAGCAACAGCAGCUCAAGUAACACGUUAUUUCAGCGUUAAAAUGCGGGCUUUGUAGACCUCUUAGGCAGACAGAGGCAAUUUCAAAGGAAACUUCUUUGGCUGGGUACUCAGUGUUACACAGGGAUUUGGGGAGUUAAUAUUCACUGUUUCUGUUGUUGGAGAAAAGGAAAGCAGAACUGCUCUUUUUCAUGACUCUCCCCAAUGUGCAUCUGUUUCCAUUCGUAUCUUGGAAUUGGGAAGAUGGAGGAGACUUGAGCGGUGACCCACCUAGCCUCUUGACGCACGCUGGGCUCACCUUAAAACCCCCCAAACAGAUGGCAGUUGAUCAUGGUUUUAAAUAUCCCAGCAUAGACUUUCUGCAGCCUCCCUUGUUAGCCACUAUCAGCGCUUAACAUUCUGUCAUCUGAAUAACUCCUUAAAAAUGAUACCAACGGUAGUAGAAAUUUAAAAGGGACCUUCCAAAAAAAAAAACAUGCAAAAGCUUACCACCCCAGUAAAUCACCCGCAACAAUGUUGCAACAGUUUAAAUUUACUGCAGAGAGAGUGAAGUUUAGGAGACACCGCUUUAUAAUAUUUUCGAGAGAUAGUUAUGAGUGCCAAUGAGUCUUGUUCCUUUUGCAGCAGGGCCUGCUCCACUGAGUCAUCCUGCCUUCAGAAGCUUCCAGUUAAGCAGCAGGCCCCGGCCAUAGGCUCCCCGUGUCCCCAGCCUCCAGAGGAGAGGCUCCCACACGAUGUUCUCAUUGCCCUUAGCUCCACUCCAAAAGGGGCCUGCAGUUCUGCUGCUUAUCAGGGGUCUACUGGGAAGUGAGGUGUCACUGUCCCUUUCUGGCAGCCUCUGCACUGUCUGUGAGUGGCUCUCCUGGAUUAAGAGUUUGCAAAGUAUGGCCAGUGGCCAGGACUGGCCUGCUGCCUGUUUUUGUUUAACCCGCGAGCUAAGAAUAGUUUUUACCUAUUUUAAGUAGUUGAAAAAAAAUCAAGAGAAGAAUACUAUUUCGUGAUAUGUGAAAAAUCACAUGAAAUUCAAAUGUAAGUGUCCAUAAAUAAAGCCUUACUGGAA